UUAAUGGAGAGUUUGAUCCUGGCUCAGAGUUAACGCUGGCGGCGUGCAUAACACAUGCAAGUCGAACGAGUUUAUGCGAUUACAUCAAGUAAGCUAGUGGCAGACGAGUGAGUAACACGUAAGAAAUCCACCCUGGAGUGGGGAACAACCAGUCGAAAGAUUGGCUAAUACCCCAUACGAUCAUCGGUCGGCAUCUAUCGAUGAUGAAAGGUUUUUCGCUCUAGGACGAUCUUGCGGCCUAUCAGCUAGUUGGCGGGGUAACGGCCCACCAAGGCUAUGACGGGUACCUGGCCUGAAAGGGCGGACGGGCACGGAGGCACUGAGACACGGGCCUCACUCCUACGGGAGGCAGCAGUGGGGAAUUUUGGACAAUGGGCGAAAGCCUGAUCCAGCAACGCCGCGUGAGGGAUGAAGGUCUGAGGAUUGUAAACCUCUUUUACAUGGGACGAAACCCCGCAAGGGACUGACGGUACCGUGUGAAUAAGCCCCGGCUAAAUAUGUGCCAGCAGCCGCGGUAAGACAUAUGGGGCAAGCGUUACUCGGAAUUACUAGGCGUAAAGCGUGUGUAGGCGGAUCCUUAAGUUCGUCGUGAAAUCUCCCGGCUCAACUGGGAGGGGUCGGCGAAGACUGGGGGUCUUGAGUGAGGUAGGGGGAACCGGAAUUCCAGGUGUAGCGGUGAAAUGCGUAGAUAUCUGGAGGAACACCGGUGGCGAAAGCGGGUUCCUGGGCCUUUACUGACGCUGAGACACGAAAGCUAGGGUAGUAAACAGGAUUAGAUACCCUGGUAAUCCUAGCCUUAAACGAUGAUAACUAGGUGUGGGAGGUAUCGACCCCUCCCGCGCCGUCGCUAACGCAUUAAGUUAUCCGCCUGGGGAGUACGGCCGCAAGGUUAAAACUCAAAGGAAUUGACGGGGGCCCGCACAAGCGGUGGAGCAUGUGGUUUAAUUCGACGCUACGCGAAGAACCUUACCUAGGCUUGAACCGCCAGUAGUAGUCCCUUUGAAAGGAGGGGCGACCCGCAAGGGAGCUGGCAGAGGUGCUGCAUGGCUGUCGUCAGCUCGUGUCGUGAGAUGUUGGGUUAAGUCCCGCAACGAGCGCAACCCCUGUCCUGUGUUGCUACCCGCAAGGGAGGACUCUCAGGAGACUGCCGCGGACAACGUGGAGGAAGGUGGGGACGACGUCAAGUCAUCAUGGCCUUUAUGUCUAGGGCUACACACGUGCUACAAUGGCGUAUACAGAGGGAUGCAAGACCGCAAGGUGGAGCAAAUCCCUAAAGUACGCCUCAGUUCGGAUCGUGGGCUGCAAUUCGCCCACGUGAAGUUGGAAUCGCUAGUAAUCGCAGAUCAGCAGGCUGCGGUGAAUACGUUCCCGGGCCUUGUACACACCGCCCGUCACACCACGAAAGCUAAUUGCAACAGAAGUCUCCGCAAGGGGCCCAAGUUGUGAUUGGUGAUUGGGGUGAAGUCGUAACAAGGUAGCCGUACGGGAACGUGCGGCUGGAUCACCUCCU
rnacentral:rRNA from 1 species